UACGUAGGGUCCGAGCGUUGUUCGGAAUUACUGGGCGUAAAGGGCUCGUAGGCGGCCAACUAAGUCAGACGUGAAAUCCCUCGGCUUAACCGGGGAACUGCGUCUGAUACUGGAUGGCUAGAGGUUGGGAGAGGGAUGCGAAAUUCCAGGUGUAGCGGUGAAAUGCGUAGAUAUCUGGAGGAACACCGGUGGCGAAGGCGGCAUCCUGGACCAAUUCUGACGCUGAGGAGCGAAAGCCAGGGGAGCAAACGGG
rnacentral:rRNA from 1 species